rnacentral:rRNA from 1 species
UUCUGCCUACGGGGCGCAGCAGUAGGGAAUUUUCGUCAAUGGGCGCAAGCCUGAACGAGCAAUGCCGCGUGAACGAGGAAGGUCUUCGGAUCGUAAAGUUCUGUUGAAGGGGAAAAAGAGCGGAGAGAGGAAAUGAACUCCGAUUGAUAUUACCCUUCGAGGAAGUCACGGCUAACUACGUGCCAGCAGCCGCGGUAAUACGUAGGUGGCGAGCGUUAUCCGGGAUGAUUGGGCGUAAAGGGUGCGUAGGCGGCCUGCUAGGUCUGGAGUGAAAGGUAACGGCUCAACCGGUACAGGCACUGGAA